AGGUGUGUGGAUACGACACGUCCGCUCUCAGCGCCGGUCCUCUCUUCAGAGUUCCUAUAACGGUUAUAAUCCCUGCGAAAGUAGCUGAUAGUCGCAGUCAAGAGAUCACGUUCACAGACGCCCACUUCAGACCAGGACAAAUCCGGCGCCAUUUCAUUACCGUCCCUCAUGGAGCAUCAUGGGCAGAAAUCUCAUUAACGUCUCACUCUGGAGAUGUGUCGUCAAAGUUCGUCCUGCAUGCAGUUCAUCUGGUGAAGCAGCGAGCGUAUCGAGCCAAUGAGUUUUAUAAGUUCUCAUCUCUGCUGGAGAAAGGCUCACUCACGGAGGCUUUUCCUGUGCUGCCUGGUCGGACUUUGGAACUCUGUGUUGCUCGCUGGUGGGCGAGUCUCGGUGACGUCACCAUUGAUUAUGUCAUUUCCUUCCACGGGCUGGUGACAUCACCCUCUCCUCUU